UCCUCGUUAGCUCAGUCGGUAGAGCGCUCGGCUGUUAACCGAUAGGUCGUCCGUUCAAGUCGGACACGAGGAG
rnacentral:tRNA from 1 species